UGAUCUCACCAGGCAGUUAAUUUCUGGGC
rnacentral:piRNA from 1 species